rnacentral:rRNA from 1 species
GGAGUUAGGAAAUGUAAGUGCGCUAAUAUCGCAUUUAUUUGACGAAGGCUCCAGAGGAAGUCACGGCUAACUCUGUGCCAGCAGCCGCGGUAAUACAGAGGUGGCAAGCGUUGUUCGGAAUUAUUGGGCGUAAAGAGCACGUAGGUGGGUCUGUAAGUCAGAUGUGAAAGCCUUCUGUUCAACGGAAGAAUUGCAUCUGAAACUACGAAUCUUGAGUGUAGGAGGGGAGAGUGGAACUUCUGGU